rnacentral:rRNA from 1 species
GAUGAACGCUGGCGGCGUGCCUAAUACAUGCAAGUCGAGCGAACGGACGAGAAGCUUGCUUCUCUGAUGUUAGCGGCGGACGGGUGAGUAACACGUGGAUAACCUACCUAUAAGACUGGGAUAACUUCGGGAAACCGGAGCUAAUACCGGAUGAUAUUUUGAACCGCAUGGUUCAAAAGUGAAAGACGGUCUUGCUGUCACUUAUAGAUGGAUCCGCGCUGCAUUAGCUAGUUGGUAAGGUAACGGCUUACCAAGGCAACGAUGCAUAGCCGACCUGAGAGGGGGCGUGGCCAACCGGGAACGGGAACAGGGUCCAAACCCCUAGGGGAGGAAAGAGGAGGGAAUUUUCCGCAAUGGGCGAAAGCCUGAGGGGGCAACGCCGGGGGAGGUAUAAAGGUUUUCGGAUCGUAAAACUCUUUUAUUAGGGAAGAACAUAUGUGUAAGUAACUGUGCCCCUCUUGACGGUACCUAAUCAGAAAGCCACGGCUAACUACGU